CCUCUCUUGGGUUGUCUACAUCUAGGCAACACUUUUAGAAUGGCUAGAGAUCAUUUUGAAUAAUCUUAAUUUUCAUCUAUGCAUCUAAAAUUACUUGGGAGACGUGAUGGAGAUAGUUUACAGUAUAAUGCACCUUCGACUUGUGAAAUAGCAACAUUGAUUGUUGGGGAUUUAUGAUAGAUAGAUCAUCAGUGUGACAUUAUUGUUGAAUAUAGAAUAGAAGAAUUGAA
rnacentral:lncRNA from 1 species